UCGUCUGUGGCCUAGUGGUAGGAGCAUCUGCCUCGAAUGCGGCAAACGAUGGGUUCGAUCCCACCCCGAGUGAU